CUAGAUUCAAGGAUCAAGCACGAUCGCUAAGAAGCCGCGAUGCGCAUUGUCAUCCACGAGGCUGGAUCGCGAUCGAUCUCCCAGCUGGAUGGAGCGGCAUUGCAACAGACCCACAGAGAGAAAAUGCAUAGCAAAUGCUGGAGCUUUCUCCGUGGUCUAGGGUUCUUGGGUUCCAUUCCGAGGUAAGCGACCAUUCCCAAGCUCCAAUGUGGAAGUGGAAGCAACUGGCCAUCGCGCUCCUCGCUACGGCCAUGGCACUGGUGGCCGUAAAUCACGGCUUAAACACUCGACUCCAGCAACAGGGGUGCUUUGGAGAGAUUUUCAGCCGUGAUGGACAGCGACACUUCUCUUCUGGAACUUCCCGACCCCAGCGUCAAGAUCAUAGCUCCAAAGUCUAUCACAACUGGGAGCUCUUCUCCCUGGACUACGAAGAGAUGGUGAAGAGCUUCAAGGUGUAUGUGUAUCCAUUCGGCAAUUCAGAUUACUCCCAGGUUUUUCUCCCUCAUCCGGACCCGUAUGAUCGCAAGCUCGGGAACUUCUUCAGCGAGCAUAUGUUCAAGAUCAACUUGCUCAACAGCACUUUCGCGACGCGGGAUCCUGGCGAGGCACACUUGUUCUUCAUGCCGUUUUCGAUCAACGCAAUGAGAAACCAUCCCCGGAUUCGCUCCGAGGCCAUGAUCUCGAGCUUCGUGGAGAGUUACGUCGAGGAGAUCAGCCAGAGGUACAAGUUUUGGAACCGGACCGAAGGUGUGGAUCACUUUUACGUGGGGUGUCACUCGGUUGGCCGGAACGCAGCGUCCAACUCCCGGGCUUUGCAGCAAAAUGCCAUCCAAGUUACUUGCUCGGCGAACUAUUACCAGAAGCUCUACGUUCCUCACAAAGACGUCGCUCUUCCUCAAGUCUGGCCUCGACCACUUGACACUUUCAUCGUUCCACCUGAAAAAAGGACGAGGCUGGCUUUCUUCUCCGGACGAGCUCAAAACUCCCACUUAAGAGAGACGCUUCUAAAGCUCUGGUCCAACGAUUCCGACAUGGACAUCUUUGCGGGAACCAUGCAAGGCUCGUACGAGGACGCGUUAUCGCGGAGCAAGUUUUGUCUGCACGUCAAAGGCUACGAGGUGAACACCGCCAGGAUCUCCGACGCUCUCCAUUUCGGCUGCGUCCCCGUUAUCAUUUCCAACCAGUACGAUCUGCCGCUGUCCAACGUUCUCAAUUGGAGGAGCUUCUCGAUCGUCCUGAGGUACACGCAGAUCCCGGCUUUGAAGGCGAAGCUCCAGAGCGUCACGCAUGAAGAGUAUGCACGGCUUUGGUCGAAUGGCCGACGAGUUAAGAGACACUUUGGCUGGCAUCACUCUCCACGGGAAUACGACUCUUUCCACAUGACCAUGUACGAGCUUUGGUCGAAGCGCCACUUUGUCCGGGCCCCUCUUUAGAGCUCUUCGGAUGGUGGAAGCGAAAAUGAAGAAACAGAAGGCGUUAAGGAGGACAACUUCUCAGGCAAUGGUGCAAAUGACCAGGAGAAGAGAAAACACCAGCACCAACUUGUCAGUGCCCGCUGUGCAUGAGCCAACAAAAGUUCCUGGGCUGGGUUUAGUUGCCUUCGAAACAAACAGACACUCGUUAUCGUUUCGUGGCUGGAGAAGAUGCGAGCCAAACGAAAAGCAGCCACAGCAGCAGAAGGAGAAGGAGAAGGAUAGUUCGAAGGAAAAAAGUGGACUUCUAGUGGAAGAAAGAUGCAAGGAGAUGAUGUCUGUCGCGGGAAUCUCUCUUUUCCUCUGGGCUGCAAGUGAUUUAUUAAGUCUGCCACCACGAGCCUUGCGUUUUUGGAUCCUUGGUUGCUUCUAUCCAUCUUAUCCCUAUCGAUCCAACAGACAGUAAGCGGGUCCCGAGCCAUGUGUGAGUAAACGAGGCACAGCAAGGCUUCACAGGCGCUUUUUUUUUCACUCUGCCAAGGACUAGAGGAGCACGGAGAGAUCCCGGAGUUUACAUCGUCUUCCUUUCCCGUUAUAGCUCCAUCCAGCGCCAGGAGGGAGUAUCACGAAUCAUGAUUCAUCAUGGUGACUUACGCGAAAGGCUGCCGUAGAGGGUCUCGGAAACGCUGUCCAAAUGGCGGUGCAGUAACAAGGCAGGAGGAGCAUCUUUUUCGCUGCAAAUGCGGAGUAAACAAUAAAUCCUGAGAGUCAUGGAUGAAGUGGACAAGCGAUACGAACGAACAACGCUGGACAGUGGUAACUUACAUAGCUGCUGCAGGAAGGACCACAACACCUUACAGAGACUUGGGAAGAAGAGCCCCCGCCGGAGUUUAAGUUGGUUCGACUAGACAAAGGCGCAGUGAUAGACCAGGUGGUGGUGUUUGUGGACCCUGUGGAGCAAUCGAAUACUUUCAUGUGGGAUCCAUGUGGUGGAAGCAUGACAACGAAGAACUCUCGAGCUAAAACUCUAGCUCUGCGUGAUCGUACUCGGGAAGAACAACAAAGAGGAGAAAAGAAUUGGAAGUAAAGAGUUCUCUGUGGGAGACAUGUGCUAACUGGAUGGAAGUGGAGCACCAAACUAAGUAACUUUAAAGGCUGCCACCAAGGAGGGACAUAUCAUAUCACUCCAGGGAAGGAAGGAAGGAAGGAACGAGCUCGCGAAGAGCGAGCCAGCAAACAGGUCUAAUCUAUGAGCCACUGCUGCGCGGAGCAGCACUUGAGGAGAUAGAGCUGAGAGACUGCCAAGCAACGAAUUUGCUGGUGGCCUGUCCGUGUUUUACGACUUUGGUGGGAUCCAAGAGCCAGAACUUCCAUGUGGAAGCUGCUUGCUAGUUUUUUUCUUUUUUUUUUUUUGGUUUCUCUUUUCUCGGCAUUGGCAGCAUUGCAACACACAAGACUGGAGAAUCCACAGACACGCAGCGCUGGAGGAGGAGACAUUAAAGAGAACUCGUCGAAGUUGUUCUCUUUCUGGUACGCAGAAAGGCUGGGAACUCGAAAAGAGGUGUUAAUUCUCUAAGCUUGAGUGCGCUCCAGAAGAGCUUUGGCGCCACCGCCACCUCAAGGACUGGAGUUUUUGCUGGUACCAUCAAUCAAUCACAAGCCAUAGCUCCUGCCGCGUAGGAGAUAACAGUCA